CCCCUUGUGCAAAGAUUAUAAAAUUCCAUGAGUCCAUGCUCUAAUGAAAUGGGUUGAAGGGAUGCAGCUUUCAUUGAUCACAUGAUCCAGGCCACAAUUUGGUGAAAGUCUGACUUUGCCUAUAAUUUGCGACCAUUUCCAACAUGGAAGCCUUUGCUGCAGACUCUAACAUGAGUACAGACUCCUCCGUAUCCCUGGAGAGGAACCCUUGCCGAGGUCCAUCAAACGGAUCAGUUGUGAACUCGGGAUUUAUAAAGAGGUCUUUCUCCUCACAUUCUAACAAUACUGCUGUUGUGGUCCAUGACUGCUUAUUCAUCAGAGUUAUUUAGCAGCUGGCCUUCAUAUUUGAAGGUUGUUCCCCUAUCUACCACCUGGGGAGUACGCGCCCUGUAGCAGUCAGCUCUACCAAGAGAACUCACAUAUGCAAAUUAUAGGUAAUUAUAUGGACCUCAGCAAGGGUCCCACUCCAGGGAUACAGAGGAGCUGCGUCUGUACUCAUGUUAGAGUCAGCAGCAAAGGCUUCCAUGUUAGGAACGGCCUCAAAUUACAGGCAAAGUCAGACUUUCACCAAAGUAUGCCUGGAUCAUAAGGCCAUGAUCACGAAAGCUGCACCCCUACACCCCAUUCCAUGAGAUCAGAUAGGUAACAUGGGAUAAAAGGACCACAUAUAAAAUAGAUUAACUGCUUGCAACAUUUUCUUUAAAAAAUUUUUUUUUUUGAAAGAGUGAAAAAGUUUAAAAGAUAAGUUUCUUUUUUUAUUUAGUUCUAAAGCUUUCGGGCAUGAAAGCCUCUCUACAGGAGAAAACCUGAUACAAUAAAUCACUAAUAAGAAACGAGUUAUAAUCAGAUACCAUUUUACAUAAUUUCUUAAAUAGGUGGAAGAAAAAUUAAUUUUCAUAUAUAAUUUUUUAUAUACACCCAUACCUCGCUUUGCGUCAGGGUUACGUUCCAAAAAAAACACGACGCAAAUUGAAACGACGCAAAGUGAAAAUAUGUGAAGGCGCAAUCAAAAACAAAGAUGUUGCCAUAUUUUAGGAAAAAAAAAAAUUAAAGACUUGAAUCCAAAACAACGCAACUUCGAAAAUCUAACGACACACAGUGAAAAUCAGUAAAAAUUAAGCAGCGACGCAACUUAAAAAAAAAAACGCAAAACGAAACGACGCAAAGCGAGGUAUUGGUGUAUAUAUACAGUAGAACCUCCCUGUAUAAAGAGGACACCUAAUUGCAGAGCUAAAGUAUUCAGGGAGAGGGGUCCUCUUACUGGAAAGUUCUCCUCUUACCAAAGAGUGUCAAAAUAGUAAAAAUGGUAAUAUAGAAAAUGAAAACUGUCCUUGAAAUAGAUGUGCCCUCUAGUGGGAGUGUCCUCUCAUGGAGGUUCUACCGUAUAUACAAAGUGCGGCAAAAAAAUACUAUUAUCUACAGUAGAACCUCCAUGAGAAGAAACUCGCGCUAGAGGACACCUCUCUACAAAGAACAGUUUUCAUCAUCAAAAUUACCAUGUUUACUAUUUAUCAACUCUUUGGUAAGAAAACACACCUCUCUACAAAGAACACUGCAAAUACACUCAUGGACAAAACUUAAGGAAGUUGUACCUUUUAUCAUGUAUAUCGGAAUUCAGACAAUAACUCUGAAAAAUAUUACAGUAACCUUUAUUGAAGACACACGAGAUAACCAAUAUACACUCAUGGACAAAACUUAAGGAAGUUGUACCUUUUAGCAUGUAUAUCGGGAUUGAGACAAUAACUCUGAAAGAUAUUACAGUGACCUUUAUUAAAGACACACGAGAUAACCAAUAUACACUCAUGGACAAAACUUAAGGAAGUUGUACUUUUCAGCAUGUAUAUCGGGAUUGAGACAAUAACUCUAAAAGAUAUAACAGUGACCUUUAUUGAAGACACACAAGAUAACCAAUAUACACUCAUGGACAAAACUUAAGGAAGUUGUACCUUUUCAGCAUGUAUAUCGGGAUUGAGACAAUAACUCUGCAAGAUAUUACAGUGACCUUUAUUGAAGACACACGAGAUAACCAAUAUACACUCAUGGAUAAAACUUAAUGAAGUUGUACCUUUUCAGCAUGUAUAUCUGGAUAUUGAGACAAUAACUGAAAGAUAUUAGCAGAUACCCGAGAUGACUAAGUGUGAACAAAAUUGCCUCUGUCUCCUUUAGAAAAAAAAAAAAAAGACAAUAAUAGGAUGACUGCCGACAUCAAAGACUUGCCAUUUCCUUUUGUCCAUGAGUGUAGGUGUAGGCCUUUACAGAGAGGUUGGUAUACUGUAUAAAAAUCCUGUUGCCCUUGCCUGGGUGUUCAAUAAAGAAUGGACACCAGGUAGCAAACUUACUGUGCCUCCAUAUUGAAGUUUGGGCGGUUGGAGAAUCCUGCCGUGGACCUCCAUCAGGGAGUUACUGAUGUUGAGACCAAACUCCCUCACGUAGGGAUCACUGUUGAAAUUGGCUCGUUGGGCCUGCACUUAACACAGUUGGACUCAACAACAACAAAAGGUCACAACAUUAACUUAGGUUAGCUGAAGAAGGGCUUGCUCGAAAGCUUCCUUUAACCCUUUAAGCUCUAGGGCCCGAAUGCUAACUAUCACUAUCAGGACCACACUAAUUAAGCCUAAACUGAUGAUCAAGUAGUUGUUAAGUUAAAAAUGUUAUAAAUAAAUAAAUAUGAUAUAUAGAAGUGUUCUGUAAAGUGCAAUAUAAUCCAGACUCCUCUCUCAACACAACACUCUGAUUUUAUUAUACUGAAAUGAGUAUUUAAUUUUUUAAUUGGGGGUUAAUUAUAAUUAAUUGAAUAAUCGACUUGAAUUUUUCAAAAUAAGGUUUCACAAAUAUAAAAAGGAAUUUUAGAUAUAUACAAGGCUAUUUACAAAGCUAACACUUGUGUUUAAAAGCACAGACUGGAUGCAAGCCUCUCUUGCACUUUGAACAUAUGGUUCUAGACCUCCGCUUCAGGCCUUCUUUUGUACACUCCACACAUCUACUCUCUCUCUUUUCUGGAAGUUUUUCGAGUACUUCCUGGCUUGUUGAAGUAGAACUGGAGGUUUCAAGUGAUUUUUAACUAAUCCAUUUAUUACUGAAUAGUUAAAAGCCCUUCUAGAAAGCUUGGGGUUGUCUUUGGUAUGCUGUUCAUAUAGGAUGAAGGAGUUUAGGAGAGCCCUGUGGAAGAUGUUGAGGAUCACCUUUCUAUAAAAUUUUCUUCCUUUUCUUUCAUCCAUAUAUGUAUACAACAUUUGAUCAUUGAGAUCUACCCCUCCCAUGUAGCUAUCAUAGCAGAUUUUCAUCUGUGGGUAGUCUCUUUGGUCUGACACCUUCUUUUUGCCAGAAGAAGCAUCACAAAAUGUUGAGAGAAACUUCACUGGAGGUUUGCUCUUCUUUUCUUUGUAAGCCAGGGCCAGUAGAUUAUUAUUUACCAUAUAAAGGGAUUCAUCCACACCUAAUUUUGCACUUGUUAAGGUUUUAGGAAGUCCCUUCCUAUUAGUUCUUAUAGUACCAGUCAAAUAAGUAUGACUGUCCAGUAAGUCCUUGGCUAGGUUGAUGCUGGUGAAAAAGUUGUCAGUUAUCAAAUGAUAACCUUUUCCAAGUAGACUGGAUUCCUGGAGCAGAUUCAUUGGAACAUCAUAGGAAAGGGACUUGAUAAUUGGAGAUAAUUUCCCUUUAUAUGGCUUCAUUCUCAGACAAUAGCCAGUUUUAGAUUCACAAAGCAUCCACAGUUUGACUCCAAAUCGACCAUGGUGCUUUUGGGGCAUAUAUUGUCUAAGACGAGUUCGUUUUUUUAGGCACACCAAGCUCUCAUCAACUGUAAGAUUUUGAGUAGGCUUAUAAUAAUAUAAAAACUUGUUGUUCACAUGCUCUAUGAGCUUCUCAAAUCUUGCAGUUGGGUUGUAAUCAGGAUGAGAACUUGGAACCAGGUUGAAGUCAUCAAUCAGAGAAAAGCAGCUGUAGAGCAACUCAAAUCUCCCUCUAGACAUAACUUUACCAAACCAGGGCGUCUCUAAAAGUUCAUUCUUGCUCCAAUAGUCCCUGAUUUGGUUCUUCUUCACAUUGCCCAUAUUGAAGAUGACUCCAAUAAAGGCCAUCAUCUCAUCCAAGGUAGUGUCCUUCCAGGCCAGCUUCCUAGAAAAUGGAGGCAAUUUGUCCCUAUUGCUUGCCAAUAAAGUUUGGGCACAUUUAUUGGUAAAAGCCACAAUUUCCUUCAUCAAAUUCAUUGUUAUGAAUAACAAAAAGUAUUCAAUAGGCCGGAUAAUAGAGGGGAGAAGGUGCUGUGGGCCACAAACUUCUCCAAAAGUCAAUGUUUUGGAUGUGGAAAAUGGAGUAUAAACUCUUACCCAAGGACUUGGCUGGUUUUCAUCCACUUCUUCAUCAGAAAAUUCAUCUUCAAAAGUGUCUUCAACAAUUUCUUCAAACUCAGAAGACAAAGAAUAAACUUCAGUGUCCUCAGAAAAUGCAGAGCAUUCUGAACCGGAAGCCAUUUUUAAAAAAUUAAAAAUAAAAAAAGGAAAUCGCAAGACAAAGGAGAUAAAAACACAGCUAACGUGUAGAGACAAGCCCAGAAGUGAGAAGGGAGGUGAUAAAAAUAGCCAGCCAAAAAAAAACUAGGGCGAGAUAAAAGAACUUAUGUACACAUUAGCACACCUACGCGUUAGUGAUUAUAUCAAUUCUUUUUAUGCGCAUGCGAGCCAAGGUGGCCAUCAUGUGAUUUCUCCCGCUGGCGAAGGUCACGUGAUUUCCUCUGGCCAACAAAGAUUUAGAAUAAGCCAUUCUGGCUUGCAUUAGAUACACUAAACAGGACCUUUGGGAGAGGCCGCUGCUUAUCAUCAAACAUCUAAAGAAGCAUGAACUCAUUGAAUUUUUGUAAUUUUUGCUCAAGGGGAUAAGAAACAACAACAACAGAACAGGCUAUUUCAAGCAAAUUGAUGAUGGAAAAAAAUCUUCCUCACUCUAAAUAGGACAUGUUUUUUUUUUCUUUUGCUUAUCUCUAGUACAUGUGGUACAGGCCAUGAUAAUCAUUGUGGGUAGAAGUAAGAGACUGUUUUUGCUGUAAGUGCACCACAUGUUUACACUUGUAAAAAGCAGUUCAACUUUGCACUUAUAAAUGUGCCAGAGCCCUGUUUGGUUACUUGCUCUUGCUGGUAGGGUUAGACUUUUACAAGAAUCGGAGGCCAAAUUGGAGCAUUUUUUAAUUAGAAAAAAGUACCUAAGGCAGGAUUCGAUCCUGGGUCUUAGUGAUCGAAAACCAAUGGUUUAGACCACCCUUCUACUGACCAUCCUAUUUAUUUAUUUAUUUUUUGUAACACUAACAAGAUUUAGAACAGGCCAUUUCAAGCCAUUGAAGAUAGAAAAUAACAACAAAAUCUACCCCAACUGCCCAAAGCUGCAGCUCCAGAACCCAUUUUUGGCUUGCGUUAGAUGCACUAAACAGGAUCUUUGGGAGAGGCCGCUGCUUAUAAUCAAAGAGCUCAAGGAAUAUGGAAUUAUAGAAUUUGUGUAAUCUUUUGCACAGGGAGAUAAGAAACAACACAGAAAAUAAAACCAAAUCCAUAUUUUUGAAAUGUUUGUGACAUUUUGGUUACAGCGUUGUUAGCAUCUCAUCAGACAAAUUGUCUGAUGAUGGUAACAACACUUUUACCAAAACAUCACAAACAUUUCAAUAAUAUCGAUUUGGUAUCUUAUUACCUUGUAAUUGUACAAGAUACUUAGCCCUGAAUGCUUUAUUGUAAUUUUAUUAAAUAUAAUUCACAGAGGGCGAAUGAUUAUUUUUUAAAAAAAGUACAUUUCAUUUUAUAAUAAAAAAUGAUAAAAUAUCAAAAGAAUCCUCUUUUUCCAUAGAGUCUCCAAUGAGGAUGUAAAGUGAAAUUGGUCAGAAGAGAAUGAAACGGCAUUCCAAAAAGGUUGAGCUUGACAUUGGAAAAUGGUGUUGUUUUUGAAUAUUAGUUCUUUGUUGAAGCACCAUUUGCAUAGUUACAAGUUGACUUAUUGGUGCUAUGAAUAGAACGUGUAGUCAGUCCAGAGAUAGGUAGUCUUGUUAAUUUAGACGCCAUGUUUUUUUUUUUCUCAUCCCUAGUACACGUGGUACAGACCAUGAUAAUCAUGGUGGGCAAAAGUAGGUGACUGCUUUAACUGUAAGUACACCACAUGUCUACACAUGUGAAAAGUAGUUCGACUUUAGCACUUAUAAAUGUGUCAGAGCACCGUUUGGUUACUUGAAAUCGGUGGUGGGGUUGGACUUUUGCAAGAAUCAGGGGCCAUUGGAGUAUUUUUUUUUUUUUAUCAGAAAAAAAAGUGCCCAAUGCGGGAAUCAAACCCGAGCCGUAGCGGUCGAAAACCAACAGACGGCAUGUUUUCUAUUGUAGUGUUAACUUGGCAAUAAAGGAUAAUUUUGCUUAUGCCUAAGAGUUAUUUGGUGGUUAAAAUGAAGCAGCGUGAUACAAAAUGAAAUGGCAGGUACAUAGUCUUCUUCUUCUUUCUUAUCUCCACUCAAACAUAUCAGGGUAUCAAGUUGUGACCCUUGAUGGUGUCUGUUUGACAACCAUCAUGACUGGGUGAAGUAGAAUGCCUUUGUCAUUAAGACUGGGAGCACUACUCAGUGGCAGGCCACUGACUUAGCUCCAAAAGAAAUGACCACCUCUGACAUGAGGAACAGACGGCAAGUACAUAGUAAUACAUGGCAGUAGAAGAAAGAGUAUCAGCCACCUACCAAACUGGUUAUUUCCAUCUUCCUAUCUGGGGCAGAUUUGGCUGCAGCCUGAAAAACACAAGAGACAUAUAAGCUAUAUAUAUAGGAAAUGAAAGCAUUUAAGCACAAAUAUUUCUUUUGCACAUAAAACAAAAUUUCUCUCCUUAAUGGUAAGUUACAUUUUGAAUUAUAUAUAUGUGGCAAUAUAGUGAUAAUAAUGUGGUGAGGAGAGAAAUAAUCACACAACGAGUUGGUAGAGGAAAUAACCCAGGCAGCCAGCGAGAGAGACGGGGCGCGAGGAGCUUCCCGCUGAACGACCGUUUGUUGUGGCCACCACCCCCCGACUAUCUAAAAAUAGUCCUGCAGGGUUCCAAGAAAAGCCCUGCGGUCGCCCCUUGGAAUGUGGCCAGUGGCCCAGAUGACCGUACUUUAGCUGCGUUCUAUCGACGUCUCUCUCUCGUUGACUGUAGGUUUACUUUAUUAUUCCUGGAAGAGCAUAUAUUAUGACAUAUAUAUUUUUUUUGGCUUAUCCCUAGUACAAGUGGUACAGGCCAUGAUAAUCAUGGUGGGUAGAAGUUGGCGACUGCUUUUACUGUAAGUGCACCAUAUGUCUACACAUGUGAAAAGCAGGAAUUAUAGAUUAUAAACACAAGGUAAUAAGACCAAAAUCCAAAUAAAUAAAUACACCUAUCCCCCGAUUUACACGGUACUUUUUUUACACGUUUUCGCUUUUACAUGGUUUUCCAAAUAAGUUUUUUUUUUUUUUUUUAUCGCACUAUACUAAAUGCUACUGUGAUUGAACACAUGCGCUGUGUACACAUCUCACGAGGAAUCCCAAGCUUAUGUGCUGACUACAUAUUUUAACCUGCCAAUGCAUUUUAUUUUUAUUUCUGUGUACACCUAUCCCCCGAUUUACACGUUUUUCUCAGGAACGUAUCUACCGUGUAAAUCGGGGGAUAGGUGUAGUGUGUGAUAUUUC
rnacentral:piRNA from 1 species